GAAGGGGGCUAGCGUUGUUCGGAAUUACUGGGCGUAAAGCGCGUGUAGGCGGUUUGCCAAGUUGGGUGUGAAAGCCUUGAGCUCAACUCAAGAAAUGCAUUCAGUACUGGCAGACUAGAGGACCGGAGAGGAUAGUGGAAUUCCCAGUGUAGUGGUGAAAUACGUAGAGAUUGGGAAGAACACCAGUGGCGAAGGCGGCUAUCUGGACGGUUUCUGACGCUAAGACGCGAAAGCGUGGGGAGCAAACAGGAUUAGAUACCCUGGUAGUCCACGCCGUAAACGAUGGGUGCUAGACGUUGGCGAGCUUGCUCGUCAGUGUCGCAGCUAACGCGUUAAGCACCCCGCCUGGGGAGUACGGCCGCAUGGUU
rnacentral:rRNA from 1 species